GGAAGAGCGACCGUCCGUGGGGAGGAAGCGUGGAGCGCAACGGCGAGUCGAUGGACAAGAACUGGAUAUGAGGCGGUGCCGACCAGGGCGAGCGGGCAACGAACCGCGAAGCUCUCGUGACCAAGGGGCGGUAUCGUAGAUCGGGCGAUCGUGCAGUGACGGAACGUGCUC
rnacentral:ncRNA from 1 species